AGGUUAAGUUAAAAAGGGCGCAUGGUGGAUGCCUUGGCACUAGAAGCCGAUGAAGGACGGGACUAACACCGAUAUGCUUCGGGGAGCUGUACGUAAGCUUUGAUCCGGAGAUUUCCGAAUGGGGGAACCC
rnacentral:rRNA from 2 species